GACGAACGCUGGCGGCGUGCCUAAUACAUGCUAGUAGAACGCAGUUGCGCACGGGUGAGUAACGCGUAGGCAACCGCCUCAUAGCGGGGGAUAACACUUGGAAACGUUAGCUAAUACCGCUUACUGCUAGAUGGACCUGCAUUGUAUUAGCUAGUUGGUUAGGUAAAGGCUCACCAAUGCGACGAUACAUAGCCGAGCUGAGAGGGUGCUCGGCCACAGUGGGACUGAGACACGGCGCAGACUGCUUCGUGAGGCAGCAGUAGGGUAUCGUCGGCAAUGGACAGAAGUCUGACCGAGCAACGCCGGGUGCGUGAAGCAGGUUUGCUGUUCGUAAAGCGCUGUUGUUAGAGAAGCGGGAACUAACCACAAAGGUACUGCUAAUUACGUGCCAGCAGCCGCGGUAAUUC
rnacentral:rRNA from 1 species